UCGGAUUGAAGAAGCCAGGAGGAAAGAUCUUCUCCAACAUUCAGAGCAACACAGGCGCCAUUCUUUCCAUUUCUGGAACCACGGUCUAAGAUAAUUCCUUAGCACAAAGCUAAUGGAAGAAAUUGCUCAACUCCGCUAGCACUUGCCAGACAUGAUCAGGGACAUAGCCUCAAACCAUCACCGGGAGUAGGCGCUCAAGCCAUACGUGGUAAUCAUGACUUUUGAGCCCGUUGAUUCGCAUAGUAGCUAGGUUCACUCCCCUCUUCAAAUUCGCUGCAUACCCAUCAGGGAACAUUAACGUUUGG
rnacentral:lncRNA from 1 species